GACGAACGCUGGCGGCGUGCUUAACACAUGCAAGUCGAACGGAAAGGCCUCUUUCGGGGGGUACUCGAGUGGCGAACGGGUGAGUAACACGUGAGUAACCUGCCCUUGACUUUGGGAUAACUUCAGGCAACUGGGGCUAAUACCGGAUAGGAGCUCCUGCUGCAUGGUGGGGGUUGGAAAGUUUCGGCGGUUGGGGAUGGACUCGCGGCUUAUCAGCUUGUUGGUGGGGUAGUGGCUUACCAAGGCUUUGACGGGUAGCCGGCCUGGGAGCGUGACCGGCCACAUUGGGACUGAGAUACGGCCCAGACUCCUACGGGAGGCAGCAGUGGGGAAUAUUGCACAAUGGGUGGAAGCCUGAUGCAGCAACGCCGUGUGCGGGAUGACGGCCUUCGGGUUGUAAACCGCUUUCGCUCAUGACGAAGCUUUGUGUGACGGUAGUGGGUAAAGAAGCACCGGCUAACUACGU
rnacentral:rRNA from 1 species